CUUGUUGGUGAGGUAACGGCUCACCAAGGCUUCGACGGGUAGCCGGCCUGAGAGGGUGACCGGCCACACUGGGACUGAGACACGGCCCAGACUCCUACGGGAGGCAGCAGUGGGGAAUAUUGGACAAUGGGCGAAAGCCUGAUCCAGCAACGCCGCGUGAGGGAUGACGGCCUUCGGGUUGUAAACCUCUUUCAGUACCGACGAAGCGCCUUUAACGGUGGUGACGGUAGGUACAGAAGAAGGACCGGCCAACUAUGUGCCAGCAGCCGCGGUAAUACGUAGGGUCCGAGCGUUGUCCGGAAUUAUUGGGCGUAAAGGGCUCGUAGGCGGUCUGUUGCGUCGGGAGUGAAAACUUACAGCUUAACUGUGAACUUGCUUUCGAUACGGGCAGACUUGAGGUAUUCAGGGGAGAACGGAAUUCCUGGUGUAGCGGUGAAAUGCGCAGAUAUCAGGAGGAACACCGGUGGCGAAGGCGGUUCUCUGGGAAUAUCCUGACGCUGAGGAGCGAAAGUGUGGGGAGCGAACAGGAUUAGAUACCCUGGUAGUCCACACCGUAAACGUUGGGCGCUAGGUGUGGGGUCCAUUCCACGGAUUCCGUGCCGCAGCUAACGCAUUAAGCGCCCCGCCUGGGGAGUACGGCCGCAAGGCUAAAACUCAAAGGAAUUGACG
rnacentral:rRNA from 1 species